GCCUGUGUCCAUACCACCCUGAAUGCACCUGGUCUUGUCUGAUCUCGGAAGCUAAGAGGGCUGGGCCUGGUUAGUACUUGGAUGGGAGACCUGUAGUGUCCUUUCCAUUCUUGCA
rnacentral:rRNA from 1 species